AACACCCUACCAUUUGGAGUAAUCAACCCGCGAUCCGAACAGAUUUGUAAAAAAAAACACGGCCAGAAACUGACCACGAACUCCUCUCCCUCUCUCCCUCUCGCCCACGAACUCCUCGGCACCAACACCACCCGCGCCGCCGGCUUCCGGCGAGCUCCGACGCCGCGCAGCACGCCCCUAAGCCCCCACAAUCCGCGCCUCCCUCCCCUCCUUCCAGAUUCUCCGUUCCCGGCCUCUAACGUCCGCUCGCAACCAAACCCCCGUGGCUAGGGUUUCGGGAUGGGCUUCGCCGGCGCGUCUCCGGCGGCCCCAGAUGCAGAUGGAGCACGCCAUGGGAGUUCCCCAUCCACCACGGUCACCGCCGUCAAGUGCUUCUUCACGGAGAUGUGAAGGACGCCAAGGACCUGCAGCUACUCAAGGUUUUAUCUUGUCCCCAUCCUAUCCCCUCCCCUUGCCGCCCCUUCUUCAUUGGAUGACCAGAUGCACAACCACAUAUGUUUUUUGAUUCAGGCUCAUAGGGUCUAGAUUUGAAUGUAAAACUACCUGACUUUACCAUUAACAGAUUGGAAGCACGAUUAUCGCUGCAAUUUUUUUAGUCAUGGCAUAUUUUCUCUUAUAUGUGUUUGUUGAUGAUUAAUCAUCAAAGGUUAUACGCGUGUUUCGUCCCAAGCACAAGUCCUUCUUUCAUAUAUCCCUUUUGUCAUAUGUCUUCUUGAUGCAAAGAGGCUCAGCUUGCUACUGAUGGAUUGCAGCUUACCAAAUUUGAUUUGGUUUGGUACAAUGGAUGUUUGGUAUUGAUGUUGAAAGAAUACUUCACUUUCUGUAAUUUCUGAUGUUCAGAUUAUACCGAAUGAAUGCUACCAGAUUCCAUAUUUGUUCUAGAGAUAUUAUUGAUCUUUUCAUGCACCAAUUGUUCAAGUAGUGUCUUUCUGCUAAAAGCUUUAUAUUGCCAUGUGUGUCCUUUUGUCCGUACCUUUUUCCAGUAAUUUUCUCUGUUAACCUUGGGCCAGCUCAUUUGUGUGUGCUUCAUGUAUAUGCUCAUGCUUUUGAUGCUGCUGGACUUUGGAAUGCAUCCGCACAGUAACUUUCUGGGUAUGCUUGCAUUCAGGUUGUCAUUAGUUACGAGAUGGUACAUCAGUGUCUCCACUCUAGAGAUGAAUAUAAUACGCCAAAACACAGAAAUUAUUCCGUUCAAAGUGAAUGACACGGCGUAAAUCAAACAUGCGCUGAGCCUACUAAUGCGACUACCAGUACUGUUGCACUACUAGAACCCAAUGGCAUGAUGGUGCAGCAAAUAUGGUUUUUUAUUAGAUAGUUUUCUGCACUGUAUAUGUGAUGAAUUCACAAAUUUAUGAUUUUGAGGUACUGGUGAAGGUAGAUUCAAAUGAGUGAUGCAAAUUCAGAAUUGCAUAGGUAGUGCCUACUACUGACUAAGGGUACAUGAGUUGGAAGAAAGUCCAAGCAGAAGGAACUCCUGCAGAUGCCCAGGCUGCUACUGUGCCUAUCUUAAGGGAGACGAGACGCUGUUGAGCUGUUUUUCGGUAGAUUUGAGCUACCUAGAGUUGAGCUAGGCACCAGACGAGCAGAAGCACAAACGUAGGAGGUAUCCAACAACGGCAACCGCAACGCCAUUCCACUUAAACCUGGAGACCAGAGAAAGGAUGCGAGUUCUAGGAAAAUUUACAUUGAAAUUUGUCACAUGCAAACUGGAGGAAGGGGCAAUAAGCAGAGAAUUCCCCUCAAGAUGUGAACUGCAUUGAUGCCCUCGGUAUGUGUGUUGCUACUGCUGAAUGAUGCUCCCUUGUCGUUGUUGCUAUAGUACGAUUUAGUACAGCUUGUCUGAAUGGGUUAGAAGAGGGGUUAUGAGAUGUUUUGUUGGAGUUUAAAUAUUCUUUCAUGUAUUAAACUGAUAAGUUGUGCACUUUUGCUGCUGUUAGAUAAACUGACUACUCUGUACUGUUGGAUAGCCAUGGUAUGUGUUAGUUUUAUUUUACCACAAAAGUUUCUUGGGAGUUGGGAUAUCAGGUGUAUUCAUUACUUUUCCUAUGAAUAUAUUCUAUUUUGGUGCACUGUAUAACUAUCUAAUCUAUCUAUCCAAGUUUUCAAAGAAAUUGAUGGCGGCGGCUCGGCCGUGUCGUGGUGAAUGGCGAAGCUUCGAAACUGAACAUGAGAAAGGUGUUGACGCGCGGCUGGAAGACGUACAUACUUGAGGAAAUAUGAUUCAUAAGCUGGCAGGGCUCGUGAUGGACAAGGCGAACGCAGCGGAUAGGGCACCAAAGGGGGGUGUGGUUGCAGCGGCAUAGAGCACUUCAACAAAGGAGACUUGAGAAUGGGGACUAUAAGGAAGAUGAGUUUGUGCUUCCUUCUAUCUAAGUCAACUGUGAAGAUGUAAAAAAUGCCCUAAAAACAAGUUUAAAAAUCUUCACAGUUUUCAUAUCUUCACAAAUUUUUUGUUUCAAAACAAUAUGUUCACACUUUCUAAAAGAGCUUAAUUUUUUUCCAAAAGCAAAGUUCCAUUUUUACUAUUUUCCCCAUUUACAAAUGAAAAAAACAUUCUUAAAAGAAAACAUCAAUUCAAAAAAUGUUCUUUAAUAAAAACAUUAACUAAUCUUAAAUAAGUGUUCCAAUUUUUAUGAAAAUGUUAACUUUUGUUAAAAAUAAAAAAGUUCCAUGUUUAACCUUUUAUUGUUGUUUAUUAAAAUUGAAUAUAAAAAUGAUGCACAAUGGCAUAUGAAGCAGGUUGUGUCUUUUUCACCCGGUGCAACGCACGGGCAUUUGUACUAGUCGUAUACAAAAAUUGAUGUAUAGGUCGAGACAUAAUCUUUGUAUCUUCUUUCAGGAAAUCUUGGGAUGUCAUAUUGGUGCUCAAAGCGCAGAAUUGUCGUUAUGGAGUCCAAGAGUCCAGCAGCAUAGGUUGACCCAAUAACUCGCUCGCCCCAUCUCUGCCAGCACGGCAGCACCUCCCCAAGUCAGAGACGGCGCCGCUGCCGCAGCCAGCGCCACCCCAAACCACAGCGGCUACGUCAUCGAUCUCCGGUACAUACAACAUGGGAAAAGAGAAGAGACACAUCAACGUCUUUUUUCUUGGUGAGAUGAACUAUACCAUGUAUAACUCUCUCAUGAGAGAGCUGGGUGCUAUCAGCAGGAGUGUCAUAGCGGAACUUGAGAAAAAUCCCCAUGGUCCACUUAAGUAUCUCCUUGAGGUUGCCAAGAAGGAGCUUAGAGAUCAAUCACUCCUGUGGAAGUUCGAGGGCAGCAACUAUAUUUUUUGUGUGAUCGAUAAAGCAGAGAAAGCCGAUUGCAUUGUUGUGAUGAUGACUGAAUCCACAACCAGUGGUUUUGAGGCUAAUAUAGAACAACAUGGCUUCCUCAAUGGUGGUAAGCAGAUCAUCUGCUGCUGCAAGAUGGAUGAGCACAGUUACAAUGCAGUAGAGGGACAACUCUCUUCGCAUUUUGUGAAAUCUGGGUCCAAUGACAUAAUUGUGCCAAUAAGUUGUGAUGAAGAAGGGAACAAUAUCUCUAAGAGAGGCUCUAUCUCGAUUGGUACAAUGGUCCUACUCUUUUGGAGGCCUUGAAUCAAUUAAAGGAACCAAUCAGCACUCAAGGUUAUUAUUACAGAAACAAGUUAGAGACUUAUUGUUUGAGGACGUACCAGAUGUUUCCUGUCUAUGUCACAAAAAUUGAAGGAGAACUGCAUAAUGUGAAAUUCAGGUCUGAGGUCAAAGUGAAUGCUGAUAUUUUCUGUUCACUGGAGGCCCAUCUACAGCGCAAAGAGGCAGAAUUAGAUGCUGCUCAAGUUGCUUGCACAAGCCUGUUGGGUAAAUGCGACGAUGUUACCUUGAGGAUCGAGAAGGAUGAAUUAUGCGCGAAAUCUAUUCUGCGUGAGUUUGCACUUAAAUCCAAGUCAAGCCUGCCUGUCUAUUCUUCCUCCAUAGUCAAAGAGCUUGAGAUGACAUACUGGAAAUCAAGUGUUCUCUUUGAGGGCGUUUCCUAUGUCAGCGACGACCGUGCUAAGAAUAAAAGGCUGUCCGAACAGAAGGCUGCAUGUGCUGCACUCAAGUCGAUUCUUGCUACAGAAGAUCAUCUCUUGCCCUCGAUCCUGGUCGCUAAGAGAAAACCGACGAGUGCAGUGGCGAAGAGUUCCCGGGCGGCAAAAAAGCAAAAGAUUGGUUCUGAAUGAUUUUCGUGCUAUCUGCAUUGCUAAUUUUCUCUUGUGCGAGUGUUAUCUUCCAUGUGAAAAGAGGUGGGUAAGACGGAGCAUGUUCAAAUUACUCUUUCUCAAUACCAUACAUGUAGUGCCUGGAUGUGAACCGUUCGCUUGUCACCUCUGCGAAUCGAUUUGUUUUAGUGCGCCAUCUGUAGCGCUUGGGUGAUACCCAUGUGAAUUGAUGUGUUUUAGCUAGGAUGCUUUAACGGUUCAUUUAUCUCCGGAGUGCUUUAGCGUGAAACUCCAUGAUGUGACCUUCGAUGGUUCGUUCCGGGGAUAGUGUUGUUUGGUCAUCAACGUUGUUGUUGAAGAACA